CCUACGGGAGGCAGCAGUGGGGAAUAUUGCACAAUGGGGGAAACCCUGAUGCAGCGACGCCGCGUGAGUGAAGAAGUAAUUCGUUACGUAAAGCUCUAUCAGCAGGGAAGAAAGUGACGGUACCUGAGUAAUAAACACCGGCUAAAUACGUUCCAUAAACCGCGGUAAUACGUAGGGGGCAAGCGUUAGCCUGAUUUGCUGGGUGUAAGGGAGGCGUGGACGGUUCGGCAAGUCUGGAGGGAAAUGCCGCAGAUGAACUGCGGAUCUGCUUUGGAAACUGGCGAACUAGAGUGCGUGAGGGGUAAGCGGAAUUCCUAGUGUAGCGGUGAAAUGCGUAGAUAUUAGGAGGAACACCGGUGGCGAAGGCGGCUUACUGGACCGUAACUGACGUUGAGGCUCGAAAGCGUGGGGAGCAAACAGGAUUAGAUACCCUAGUAGUC
rnacentral:rRNA from 1 species